CCAUCCUCACCGUGCCCUAAUCUCACGCCAACCACUCCAUUUCCCUUCCUCCUUCCUCUCCCAAUCCAGCACCGAUGGUCUCCGUCUUCUCCCGAUUUUCCCCUAAAACUUAUUGUUGCCGCCUACCUUCUUCCCUUGUCCUUGCACGAGCACUCUCGGACGCCGCCGGCCUCUCCUCACGCUAGCAUCAGAGAUGCCGCAUCACUGCUGGUCGCGACAAGCUGCAGCCGCCGAGCCCCCUUGUCCUCACGCAAGCACCUCAGUCGCCGAGCCACAGCCACUGAUUCCGCCGAUGCUCGACGCACCCCACGCGAUUCUGCCCGACAUUGCCACCUUCUCCUCUCCAUGCACCGUCGGCUACCGCAGCUUGACGCCGGACGUCGCAGUCUACCUCCAGAUCGCCGAUUCUUCUCUUCACCGAUCCUCUCCCGAUUUGCCCUCAUCGUGACACUUGAUUGACGACGCUGACCCCCCUUAGCUCCGAUCCAGCGGUCGUCUGUCCAGCCCUAGCCGCGGACACCAGGAACUUGUCGGAAACCAAGCGCUCGAGGUUGAAGCAGCUCGGCCUUGUCGUCGCCUCUUCCCUUUCAUCGUCGGCAUAGAUCCACUGGAUCUCUGCACAUCGCAACUCCGAUCACUGGAUUUUGAUUCCUCUUCGUCGCUGGUACAGAUUGGUUAUCGAUCCGUUGGGUGGGACCGAUUUCAUACACAGAAUUAGAUUGAGCUCCGGCCAGCACUGUUCACCGACGAUCCACAGUGUCGGUCAUCUUGUUACAACUGUGAGCUUUUCAGACAUAAGCUACCAGCAACUCACUUGAGAUUGGAUUCGCAAGGGAAGAAGUUAACGAACAGUAGUGAAGCGUUGCUAUUGGUUGUGAGCCACUUUCAGUGACAUCUUGUUGCCAAAUUUAGAGUAAGGUAUGUUGAGAUUUGAUUUUAGUUCUGCAUGGGAUUUGAUUGGUGAUGAUUGAUGAGUAAUUAGUGGUGUUGUUGGGAUUAAUUAUUGGAUGUGGUGGUUAGAAACUGGUUAAGUGGAAGAACUAUGUAUGUUAGAUUCAUGAUGGUUAUUUGGUGAAUGAUUUAUACAAAUGGAUGCAUGAUCAUUAUUAAUAUAUUAUGGAUUAGUUGUUUAUUAAAGAUUGAGGCUAGGAUUGGAU